rnacentral:rRNA from 1 species
UACGGAAGGGGCGAGCGUUGUUCGGAAUCAUUGGGCGUAAAGGGCGCGUAGGUGGUCUCGUAUGUCUGCCGUGAAAUUGCACAGCUCAACUGUGCAAAGUCGGUAGAAACUGCAAGACUUGAGGUUGGGAGGGGCUGGUGGAAUUCCCUGUGUAGCGGUGAAAUGCGUAGAGAUAGGGGAGAACACUUGUGGCGAAGGCGGCCAGCUGGACCAAUUCUGACACUGAGGCGCGACAGCGUGGGGAGCAAACAGG